rnacentral:rRNA from 1 species
GGGUUGUGAGGUUAAGCGACUAAGCGUACACGGUGGAUGCCCUGGCAGUCAGAGGCGAUGAAGGACGUGCUAAUCUGCGAUAAGCGUCGGUGAGGUGAUAUGAACCGUUAUAACCGGCGAUUUCCGAAUGGGGAAACCCAGUGUGUUUCGACACACUAUCAUUAACUGAAUCCAUAGGUUAAUGAGGCGAACCGGGGGAACUGAAACAUCUAAGUACCCCGAGGAAAAGAAAUCAACCGAGAUUCCCCCAGUAGCGGCGAGCGAACGGGGAGGAGCCCAGAGCCUGAAUCAGUGUGUGUGUUAGUGGAAGCGUCUGGAAAGGCGCGCGAUACAGGGUGACAGCCCCGUACACAAAAAUGCACAUAUUGUGAGCUCGAUGAGUAGGGCGGGACACGUGGUAUCCUGUCUGAAUAUGGGGGGACCAUCCUCCAAGGCUAAAUACUCCUGACUGACCGAUAGUGAACCAGUACCGUGAGGGAAAGGCGAAAAGAACCCCGGCGAGGGGAGUGAAAAAGAACCUGAAACCGUGUACGUACAAGCAGUGGGAGCCUCUUAAUGGGGUGACUGCGUACCUUUUGUAUAAUGGGUCAGCGACUUAUAUUCUGUAGCAAGGUUAACCGAAUAGGGGAGCCGAAGGGAAACCGAGUCUUAACUGGGCGUUAAGUUGCAGGGUAUAGACCCGAAACCCGGUGAUCUAGCCAUGGGCAGGUUGAAGGUUGGGUAACACUAACUGGAGGACCGAACCGACUAAUGUUGAAAAAUUAGCGGAUGACUUGUGGCUGGGGGUGAAAGGCCAAUCAAACCGGGAGAUAGCUGGUUCUCCCCGAAAGCUAUUUAGGUAGCGCCUCGUGAAUUCAUCUCCGGGGGUAGAGCACUGUUUCGGCAAGGGGGUCAUCCCGACUUACCAACCCGAUGCAAACUGCGAAUACCGGAGAAUGUUAUCACGGGAGACACACGGCGGGUGCUAACGUCCGUCGUGAAGAGGGAAACAACCCAGACCGCCAGCUAAGGUCCCAAAGUCAUGGUUAAGUGGGAAACGAUGUGGGAAGGCCCAGACAGCCAGGAUGUUGGCUUAGAAGCAGCCAUCAUUUAAAGAAAGCGUAAUAGCUCACUGGUCGAGUCGGCCUGCGCGGAAGAUGUAACGGGGCUAAACCAUGCACCGAAGCUGCGGCAGCGACACUAUGUGUUGUUGGGUAGGGGAGCGUUCUGUAAGCCUGUGAAGGUGGCCUGUGAGGGUUGCUGGAGGUAUCAGAAGUGCGAAUGCUGACAUAAGUAACGAUAAAGCGGGUGAAAAGCCCGCUCGCCGGAAGACCAAGGGUUCCUGUCCAACGUUAAUCGGGGCAGGGUGAGUCGACCCCUAAGGCGAGGCCGAAAGGCGUAGUCGAUGGGAAACAGGUUAAUAUUCCUGUACUUGGUGUUACUGCGAAGGGGGGACGGAGAAGGCUAUGUUGGCCGGGCGACGGUUGUCCCGGUUUAAGCGUGUAGGCUGGUUUUCCAGGCAAAUCCGGAAAAUCAAGGCUGAGGCGUGAUGACGAGGCACUACGGUGCUGAAGCGACAAAUGCCCUGCUUCCAGGAAAAGCCUCUAAGCAUCAGGUAACAUCAAAUCGUACCCCAAACCGACACAGGUGGUCAGGUAGAGAAUACCAAGGCGCUUGAGAGAACUCGGGUGAAGGAACUAGGCAA